rnacentral:rRNA from 1 species
CCUACGGGAGGCUGCAGUGAGGAAUAUUGGACAAUGGGCGCAAGCCUGAACCAGCUAAGCAGCGUGCAGGAUGACGGCCCUACGGGUUGUAACCUGCUUUUAUACGGGAAUAACGCGCCUUACGUGUAGGGCUUUGCACGUACCGUAUGAUUAAGGACCGGCGAAUUCCGUGCCAUCAGCCGCGGUACUACGGAAGGUCCGGGCGUUAUCCGGAUUUAUUGGGUUUAAAGGGAGCGUAGGCCGCAUGUCAAGCGUGCUGUGAAAUGUCCGGGCUCAACCCGGGCCUUGCAGCGCGAACUGGUGGGCUUGAGGGCGGGGAAAGCAGGCGGAAUUCGUCGUGUAGCGGUGAAAUGCGUAGAUAUGACGAAGAACCCCGAUUGCGAAGGCAGCUUGCUGCAGCGGAACUGACGCUGAUGCUCGAAAGCGCGGGUAUCGAACAGGAUUAGAUACCCUAGUAGUC